rnacentral:rRNA from 1 species
AUGAACGCUGGCGGCGUGCUUAACACAUGCAAGUCGAACGAUGACCCCGUGCUUGCACGGGUGAUUAGUGGCGAACGGGUGAGUAACACGUGAGUAACCUGCCCCUGACUCUGGGAUAAGCCCGGGAAACUGGGUCUAAUACCGGAUAUGACUACUGGCCGCAUGGCCUGGUGGUGGAAAGAAUUUCGGUUGGGGAUGGACUCGCGGCCUAUCAGCUUGUUGGUGAGGUAGUGGCUCACCAAGGCGACGACGGGUAGCCGGCCUGAGAGGGUGACCGGCCACACUGGGACUGAGACACGGCCCAGACUCCUACGGGAGGCAGCAGUGGGGAAUAUUGCACAAUGGGCGCAAGCCUGAUGCAGCGACGCCGCGUGAGGGAUGACGGCCUUCGGGUUGUAAACCUCUUUCAGUAGGGAAGAAGCGAAAGUGACGGUACCUGCAGAAGAAGCGCCGGCUAACUACGUGCCAGCAGCCGCGGUAAUACGUAGGGCGCAAGCGUUAUCCGGAUUUAUUGGGCGUAAAGAGCUCGUAGGCGGUUUGUCGCGUCUGCCGUGAAAGUCCGGGGCUUAACCCCGGAUCUGCGGUGGGUACGGGCAGACUAGAGUGAUGUAGGGGAGACUGGAAUUCCUGGUGUAGCGGUGAAAUGCGCAGAUAUCAGGAGGAACACCGAUGGCGAAGGCAGGUCUCUGGGCAUUAACUGACGCUGAGGAGCGAAAGCAUGGGGAGCGAACAGGAUUAGAUACCCUGGUAGUCCAUGCCGUAAACGUUGGGCACUAGGUG